UACGUAGGGUGCGAGCGUUUGUCCGGAAUUAUUGGGCGUAAAGAGCUUGUAGGCGGUUUGUCGCGUCUGCUGUGAAAUUUCGGGGCUCAACCCCGAACUUGCAGUGGGUACGGGCAGACUAGAGUGUGGUAGGGGAGACUGGAAUUCCUGGUGUAGCGGUGGAAUGCGCAGAUAUCAGGAGGAACACCAAUGGCGAAGGCAGCACUCUGGGACGGUACUGACGCUGAGACGCGAAAGCGUGGGGAGCAAACAGG
rnacentral:rRNA from 1 species